UGAAGACAGAGAUAACUUUCAC
rnacentral:siRNA from 1 species